rnacentral:ncRNA from 6 species
CAAAGAUUAAGCCAUGCAUGUG